CUGGUUGAUCCUGCCAGUACUAUAUGCUUGUCUCAAAGAUUAAGCCAUGCAAAUGUUAGAUCAGGCAUAUGCGGUACCUUGUACCGUUUUUAAUUGCCAAUCUGUGGAAGGCUCAUUAUAAGAGUUAUAAACUUAGCCACUGGUUAGUUUAUAAAAGGAUACCACCGUUAAAUGCAGCGAUAAUACUUGGCAUUUGACAUUAGUGGGUAACUGACGUACCACUACUGUAACCCAUCUAGGGUGCUGUUCUUUCGGGAGCUGUAUCCUGGUGGGCGUCGACCAUUAGGCGCAGUCACUUGUGAUUGCAGGAAGACGGACUGAAAGGGCUCUAAUAAAGCUUUGGAGGUUAGUUUUCUCUAGUGGCCAAGCAGAGGUGUUUCUUAUCUAUCAGCUUGUUGUUUGUGAAAUGGACAAACAAGGCAUCAACGGAUACGGGGAAUUAGUGUUCGAUUCCGGAGAGGGAGCCUUAGAAAUCGCUACCACAUCUAAGGAUGGCAGCAGGCGCGCAAAUUACCCAAUCUUGAUACGAGGAGGUAGUGACGAAGCUAUAACGACUUUGUACCAACGGUGCAAAGGUAGGACCUUAUGGUCCUUUGUCAUGAGUUGAGUCUAAAACUCUCAACGAGCAGCUAAUGGAGGAAAAGUCUGGUGCCAGCACCCGCGGUAAUUCCAGCUCCAUUAGUGUAUAUUAAUACUGCUGUAGUUAAAACGCCCGUAGUAUACCCAAGGGGUAGCGAGUCGUUACUUACCAGUCCAGCGAAAGCAGGUGUUGAGGUUAUUCCUCAAUACCUGUAUUAGGUGUACUGGUUUUAUGGGUGAUUUCCCUACUAGGGAGAUUACCUGGGGUAGCGACACGUUAUUCUGCUCCCCAUCAACUUCGGUUGGUGGUGGCCCAAUUGGGUACAACUGUGAACAAAUCGUAGUGCUCAAAGCAGGCACUGUUUAUUUGCUUGUGCGAUUUAGCAUGGGACUGUAAAAUAACUGUACCGGAUGAAGCUCUUCUCCUUGGAGGAGGGUGGAAUCCAGUAUGGUGUUAGUAAUGGGGUUUAGGGUGAGGAUCCAGGUACCAUGGGGCUAGAGGUGAAAUUCAGAGAACCCCAUGUGACUACCUAAUGCGAAAGCUGUUGUGGUCCACCACACGCCCGUCUAUCAGGGACGAAAGUUAGGGGAUCGAAGAUGAUUAGAUACCGUCGUAGUCCUAACUAUAAACGAUACCGACAGAGGAUUGGAGGUGAAACCUUCAUCAGAUCCUUUCAGAACUCAAGGGAAACCUCAAGUCUUUGGGUUCUGGGGGGAGUAUAGUCGCAAGGCCGAAGCUUAAAAGAAUUGACGGAAAGGCACCACCAGGAGUGGAGUUUGCGGCUUAAUUCGACUCAACGCGGAGAAACUUACCAGAUCAGGAUGCUCCCAUGAUUGACAGGUUGAAAGCCCUUUCUUGAUUGAGCAGAUGGUGGUGCAUGGCCGUUUUCAGUUCGUGGAGUGAUUCGUCUUGUUAAUUCAGAUAACGAACGAGACCUAAACUUACUAACUAGGGUUAUAGGCAUUCCCUUCGGGGAAUGUUCGCUUCUUGGGUAGUCCAACGACUACUCGGAAGCCUAUAUCGAGUCCUUCAGGACUCUUCUUCUUAGAAGGACCACACCUUUUCAGGGUGAGGAAGCUUUAGGCUAUAACAGGUCUGUGAUGCCCUUAGAUGUUCUGGGAUGCACGCGUACUACAAUAAUGAUACCAACAAGGAAUAACGUAAGUUUCCUUCUCUCAAAAAGAGUGGGAAAUCUUGUCAAACGUUAUUAUGACAGGGAUAGAGGAUUGGAACAUCCUCUUGAACGAGGAAUUCCUAGUAAGCGCGGUUCAAGCAUACCGCAUUGAUUACGUCCCUGCCUUUUGUACACACCGCCCGUCGCUCCUACCGAUCGAACGAAGAGAUGAAUUUGAUGGACUUUGGGAUUUCGAUCUUGGAGGAAAUCAACUGAAUCUCUUCGUUUAUAGGAAGGAAAAGUCGUAACAAGGUCUUCGUAGGUGAACCUG
rnacentral:rRNA from 1 species